rnacentral:tRNA from 1 species
GUAACCCGUUGAACAGCAGCAUGAUUCGCCUUUGCAAGGCGGGUGUCAGGGGUUCGAUUCCCCUAGGCUCCAC